rnacentral:rRNA from 1 species
AUACGGAAGGUCCGGGCGUUAUCCGGAUUUAUUGGGUUUAAAGGGAGCGCAGACGGGCUGUUAAGCGUGACGUGAAAUCCGGGGGCUCAACCUUCGGCUGCGUCGCGAACUGGCGGCCUUGAGUGGACGGUAGGCAGGCGGAAUUCGUGGUGUAGCGGUGAAAUGCUUAGAUAUCACGAAGAACCCCGAUUGCGAAGGCAGCUUGCCGCAGUCUUACUGACGUUCAUGCUCGAAGGUGCGGGUAUCGAACAGGAUUAGAUACCCUGGUAGUCCGCACGGUAAACGAUGGAUGCCCGCUGUUGGCGACACACUGUCAGCGGCCAAGCGAAAGCAUUAAGCAUCCCACCUGGGGAGUACGCCGGCAACGGUGAAACUCAAAGGAAUUGACGGGG